UACAGAGGUGGCAAGCGUUGUUCGGAAUUACUGGGCGUAAAGGGCUCGUAGGUGGCCAACUAAGUCAGACGUGAAAUCCCUCGGCUUAACCGGGGAACUGCGUCUGAUACUGGAUGGCUUGAGUUCGGGAGAGGGAUGCGGAAUUCCAGGUGUAGCGGUGAAAUGCGUAGAUAUCUGGAGGAACACCGGUGGCGAAGACGGCAUCCUGGACCGACACUGACGCUGAGGAGCGAAAGCCAGGGGAGCAAACGGG
rnacentral:rRNA from 1 species